rnacentral:rRNA from 1 species
AACGAACGCUGGCGGCAUGCCUAACACAUGCAAGUCGAGCGCCCGUAGCAAUACGGGAGCGGCGCACGGGUGAGUAGCGCGUGGGAACCUGCCCAGAGGUUCGGGACAACCGCGGGAAACUGCGGCUGAUACCGGAUGAUGCCUGAGGGCCAAAGAUUUAUCGCCUUUGGAGGGCCGCGUCGAUUAGUAGUUGGUGAGUAACGGCUCACCAAGCCUGUGAUCCGUAGCNGGUCUGAGAGGAUGAUCAGCCACACUGGGACUGAGACACGGCCCAGACUCCUACGGGAGGCAGCAGUGGGG